rnacentral:rRNA from 1 species
UACAGAGGGUGCAAGCGUUGUUCGGAUUUACUGGGCGUAAAGGGCGCGUAGGCGGUCAGCACAAGUCAGUUGUGAAAUCUCCGGGCUUAACCCGGAAAGGUCAACUGAUACUGUGCGACUAGAGUGCGGAAGGGGCAACUGGAAUUCUCGGUGUAGCGGUGAAAUGCGUAGAUAUCGAGAGGAACACCUGCGGCGAAGGCGGGUUGCUGGGCCGACACUGACGCUGAUGCGCGAAAGCCAGGGGAGCGAACGGG